rnacentral:lncRNA from 1 species
UGCCCUUUCCAUAGCUUACUUUGUUUGAAGAAAGGAUGUUACUGUGUACAGUUUAAACCAGACUCAGGACAUACUUUUCUUCUUAACACUGACAAUGUAAAAGAUGGAUUAGUAGGAUGUCCUUUCUUUAUUCUCAAUAAUAUUAACUAAAACAGAGUAAACACUGUUCCUAUCCUCAAGGGGUUUUAUGAACACCAGCUGCACGAUGUCCUGACAGCUCCUGGAACAGCAGACCUGACAGCUGACGUAGACUUCAGUUACCUGCGCAGAAUGGCACAAGGACGAGUAGCUUCUCUGGGUCCCGUGGAACAAAGAACAUUUCUAAAAAACAUGGGCAUUGAUGUGCGGCUGAAGGUUCUUUUGGAUAAAGCAGGUGACCCAUCCCUGCAGCAGCAGCUACUUCGGGGAUACGAUAUGCUAAUGAAUCCUCAGAAGAUGGGAGAGAGAUUUCACUUCUUUGCCUUGCUGCCUCAUCAGAGACUUCAUGUGGGAAGUCAAGGAGGGAAGGCCUGCCAGUCAGAAGCCCCCUCGACCUCUGUACCUGGGUUUGAUGAACUGGUUUGGCACUGAUAUUUCAGCUGCCUUGAUUAUCAGAAUAAAAGAAAUUCACUUUGCAUACUGAAGUUGACUUAAGU